UUGAACGCUGGCGGCAGGCCUAACACAUGCAAGUCGAGCGGAUGAAGGGAGCUUGCUCCUGGAUUCAGCGGCGGACGGGUGAGUAAUGCCUAGGAAUCUGCCUGGUAGUGGGGGAUAACGUCCGGAAACGGGCGCUAAUACCGCAUACGUCCUGAGGGAGAAAGUGGGGGAUCUUCGGACCUCACGCUAUCAGAUGAGCCUAGGUCGGAUUAGCUAGUUGGUGGGGUAAAGGCCUACCAAGGCGACGAUCCGUAACUGGUCUGAGAGGAUGAUCAGUCACACUGGAACUGAGACACGGUCCAGACUCCUACGGGAGGCAGCAGUGGGGAAUAUUGGACAAUGGGCGAAAGCCUGAUCCAGCCAUGCCGCGUGUGUGAAGAAGGUCUUAGGAUUGUAAAGCACUUUAAGUUGGGAGGAAGGGCAGUAAGUUAAUACCUUGCUGUUUUGACGUUACCAACAGAAUAAGCACCGGCUAACUUCGUG
rnacentral:rRNA from 1 species